UAGGUGGCGAGCGUUAUCCGGAAUUACUGGGUGUAAAGGGAGCGCAGGCGGGACAGCAAGUUGGAUGUGAAAUACCGCAGCUCAACUGCGGAGCUACAUCCAAAACUGUAGUUCUUGAGUGAAGUAGAGGUAGGCGGAAUUCCGAGUGUAGCGGUGAAAUGCGUAGAUAUUCGGAGGAACACCGGUGGCGAAGGCGGCCUACUGGGCUUUUACUGACGCUGAGGCUCGAAAGUGUGGGGAGCAAA
rnacentral:rRNA from 1 species